AAUAGAUACCCCGGUAGUCCACGCUGUAAACGUUGGACACUAGGUGUGGCGGUCUGAUCAACGACUGCCGUGCCGAAGCUAACGCAUUAAGUGUCCCGCCUGGGGAGUACGGCCGCAAGGCUAAAACUCAAAGGAAUUGACGGGUCCCCGCACAAGCGGCGGAGCAUGCGGCUUAAUUCGAUGCAACCCGAAGAACCUUACCUGGGUUUGACAUCAUGGGAAAAGCCGUGGAAACACGGUGUCCGAAAGGGCCCAUGACAGGUGGUGCAUGGCUGUCGUCAGCUCGUGUCGUGAGAUGUUGGGUUAAGUCCCGCAACGAGCGCAACCCUUGUCCUAUGUUGCCAGCGGUUCGGCCGGGGACUCAUAGGAGACUGCCGGGGAUAACUCGGAGGAAGGUGAGGACGAUGUCAAGUCAUCAUGCCCCUUAUAUCCAGGGCUGCACGCAUGCUACAAUGGUCGGUACAACGGGCAGCGAUCCUGCGAAGGUGAGCGAAUCCCACAAAGCCGGCCUCAGUUCGGAUUGGAGU
rnacentral:rRNA from 1 species